ACCCUGUUAGCUCAGUUGGUUAGGGCAUGGUGCUAAUAACGCCAAGGUCGCAGGUUGAAUCCCCAUACAGGCCA